CACCGCCCGUCACAUCACGAAAGUGGGUGAUACUAGAAGUCGUCGUGCCAACCCGCAAGGGAGGUAGACGCCCAAGGUAUGACUCAUGAUUGGGGUG
rnacentral:rRNA from 1 species